UACAGAGGGUGCGAGCGUUAAUCGGAAUUACUGGGCGUAAAGCGCACGUAGGUGGCUAUGUAAGUCGGGUGUGAAAGCCCCGGGCUCAACCUGGGAAUUGCAUUCGAGACUGAAUAGCUAGGGUACGGUAGAGGGAAGUGGAAUUCCGGUGUAGCGGUGAAAUGCGUAGAUAUCGGAAGGAACAUCAGUGGCGAAAGCGG
rnacentral:rRNA from 1 species